rnacentral:rRNA from 1 species
ACGGGGUGCAGCAGGCGCGAAACCUUUACAAUGCACGAAAGUGUGAUAAGGGAAUUCCACGUGCAAGCUAUGCUUGCUUUUCUCAAGUUUAAAAUCCUUGGGGAAUAAGGGCUGGGCAAGACCCGUGCCAGCCGCCGCGGUAAUACGGGCAGCUCUAGUGGCGUUCGCGAAUAUUGGGCCUAAAGCGUGCGUAGCCUGUUAAACAAGUUCUUGGUGAAAGCUUGCGACUUAAUCGUGAGAGUUGCCAGGAAAACUGUUCGACUUGGGACCGGAAGAGGUCGGAGGUAUUCUAGGGGUAGGGGUAAAAUCCUGUAAUCCUUAGAGGACCAUCCGGUGGCGAAGGCGUCCGACUGGGACGGGUCCGACGGUGAGGUACGAAAGCUAGGGUCGCGAGCCGGAUUAGACACCCGGGUAGUCCUAUGCUGUAAACGAUGCUCAUUAAGUGUUAGGUAAUGCAAGACGUUACCUAGUGCCGAAGCGAAAGCGUUAAAUGAGCCGCCUGG